UCCAGAUUGAAGGCUGGGCAGCUCUUCGCCCUGUGCAACUGAGCAAUGGAAAAGCUUAUAAAUCAAUUACCUGCCUCUCCACAAUCUCCAAGAAAAACCUGGACUCUGUCCUGUGCCUAAGACUCAAUGCCUUGCAUUCUAUCCUCGAAAUAAAUGCAAUUAUGACAAGCAAUGUCUAGGGGAACUGAAGUGUUGUGUGUGGACAUGUGGACGAGAAUGCGUUCCACCAAUUUUUGUGUAAGACUUUGCUUUAUACUGAUGAGCACCCAGCACCGCCAGCAAUACCCUGUGAAACACAUCUUCACCCCUGCAACAUUCUAGUGAUUGGGAGAUACCAGCCAAUUCAAUUCAUUUGCGGGAGGAAGCUCAAGCAGAAUGAUCAGCUGAUCUGGACCUCUAGAAGCAACAUAUAUAGCAGGCCUGCACAACUCAAAUGACCUGGCGGGCCGAAACCAACUGUGACUUGGUUCAUGGGGGCUGAGGUCAAUUCCUAGUGUGCUGAUUAUUAGAGUAACACUUAACAUCAAUCAAUCAACCAAUCAACUGAAUUAAAGUGAAAUGAAUUAAAAAUGAAUUAAAAAUAAAUUUAAUCAAUAUUUAACUUUUGAUGUUCUGGCAGGCCAAGAUUGAUUUAAAUUAAUAUGAAAUAAGUUGAAU